rnacentral:tmRNA from 1 species
GGGGAUGUUAGGCAUCGAUAAUAAAAUUUUCUUAACAGCCUGCAGAAGUGCUCAUCAAGGGCGCCACUUUAAACCGCGCUUGAAAAUAAAUAAGCGUCAAAAACUUAUUCAGCCAAGCGACCUUCUCUUGGAGAAUGCCGGCUUUGGCGACUGUUGCCGCUUAAUCGCCGCAACCAUCCGCCCGAGCGCCGCCUAAGCGCCGGCUACGGGUGUCAUAUUUUAGGCUAGAAUAAUCGGUUGCUUUAGCCGGUUGUUUUAAAAAAUUAAAGCUAGUUAACGCCGAUUUUGUCCGGUUUUUACGGUGUUAAUGAAUAAACAAACCGUUCUAAUCUGUAGACCGGCUUUAAGAAAUUUAUUAGACAGGGGUUCAAUUCCCCUCAUCUCCACCG